GAAACCAACAGGGAUUUCCUCAGUAGCGGCGAGUGAAGAGGGACAAGCUCAAGCCGAUAAUCUCGACGGCAACGUCGGCGAAUUGUAGUUUGGAGAAGUGUCUUCAACGCGUGGCCGGUUCCGGUCAAAGUUGCUUGGAACAGCACGUCGCGGAGGGUGACAGUCCCGUACUUGACCGGGCGACCUGCGCCACGAAGCACUUUCGAAGAGUCGGGUUGUUUGGGAAUGCAGCCCAAAGUGGGUGGUAAACUCCAUCUAAAGCUAAAUACGAGCACGAGACCGAUAGCGAACAAGUACCGUGAGGGAAAGAUGAAAAGCACUUUGAAAAGAGAGUUAAAGAGUACGUGAAAUCGUUGAAGGGGAAACGAAUGCGACUAGCAAAGCACCCGUUGCAGAUUCAGCCUGGUCGUCUUGCGCCACUUGACGUGCAGAUCAGAAAGAAAAGAACCGCCGUCGACGUCGUGGCAAAUCGGCCUGUCGCAAUUCUGCCCGGUGCGAGCCAAAAUCGGUCUAGAGGCGGUCGACACGCGUUUGGCGUCGUUUUUCGGACUGCAUGCAGUGCGCGAUUCGAUCGUCGGAGCGAGUCGGUCAGUCUUUCAUACACGGGCCUAGGUCGUUGGCGGUGAAAUGGUUUCAUACGACCCGUCUUGAAACACGGACCAAGGAGUCUAACAUGUGUGCGAGUCGUGGGGUGUUAAACCCUGUGGCACAAUGAAAGUGAUUGUGGAGACGAGAAGCUUGCCUUAGUUGCGAGCCGCAUCGUCGGCCGACCUGACCUGAUUUCAGAAAGGUUUGAGUAGGAGCACGCCUGUUGGGACCCGAAAGAUGGUGAACUAUGCCUGAAUAGGGUGAAGCCAGAGGAAACUCUGGUGGAGGCUUGUAGCGAUUCUGACGUGCAAAUCGAUCGU
rnacentral:rRNA from 1 species